rnacentral:snRNA from 14 species
GAGUGUAAAGGUCAUAUGGCUCGACUUAUGUCACUCCCAUUGAUUACUGAUUGAUAUGGUUGAUAUGGCCUCUUUGUUCCCUUACAGUUCCAAGUAUCUCUCUCCUGAAGCUGUGUACUUUGUCAAAGAGGAUGGCCUUGCCUGAGGAGAGGAACACCAGUCUUCAGUUAAGGGUAUAUAAGCUAUCCUCCCAUGUUAUAACAUCCAAUCAAACUCUCAAAGGGAUGUUUAAGAGUGCCUCAAAGACUCUAAGAGUGGUUCAUAAGAUAUUUUGUAUUAAGAAUCUAUGCUUUCUGG